UGUGGGUGGAUUAGUGGCGAACGGGUGAGUAACACGUGAGUAACCUGCCCUUAACUCUGGGAUAAGCCUGGGAAACUGGGUCUAAUACCGGAUAUGACUCCUCAUCGCAUGGUGGGGGGUGGAAAGCUUUUUGUGGUUUUGGAUGGACUCGCGGCCUAUCAGCUUGUUGGUGAGGUAAUGGCUCACCAAGGCGACGACGGGUAGCCGGCCUGAGAGGGUGACCGGCCACACUGGGACUGAGACACGGCCCAGACUCCUACGGGAGGCAGCAGUGGGGAAUAUUGCACAAUGGGCGAAAGCCUGAUGCAGCGACGCCGCGUGAGGGAUGACGGCCUUCGGGUUGUAAACCUCUUUCAGUAGGGAAGAAGCGAAAGUGACGGUACCUGCAGAAGAAGCGCCGGCUAACUACGUGCCAGCAGCCGCGGUAAUACGUAGGGCGCAAGCGUUAUCCGGAAUUAUUGGGCGUAAAGAGCUCGUAGGCGGUUUGUCGCGUCUGCCGUGAAAGUCCGGGGCUCAACUCCGGAUCUGCGGUGGGUACGGGCAGACUAGAGUGAUGUAGGGGAGACUGGAAUUCCUGGUGUAGCGGUGAAAUGCGCAGAUAUCAGGAGGAACACCGAUGGCGAAGGCAGGUCUCUGGGCAU
rnacentral:rRNA from 1 species